UACGUAGGGGGCUAGCGUUGGCCGGAAUCAUUGGGCGUAAAGCGCGUGUAGGCGGUCCGGUAAGUCCGCUGUGAAAGUCGAGGGCUCAACCCUCGAAUGCCGGUGGAUACUGUCGGGCUAGAGUGCGGAAGAGGCGAGUGGAAUUCCUGGUGUAGCGGUGAAAUGCGCAGAUAUCAGGAGGAACACCAGUAGCGAAGGCGGCUCGCUGGGCCAUACCUGACGCUGAGACGCGAAAGCGUGGGGAGCAAACAGG
rnacentral:rRNA from 1 species